rnacentral:rRNA from 1 species
UACAGAGGUCCCGAGCGUUGUUCGGAUUUACUGGGCGUAAAGGGCGCGCAGGCGGCGCAUUUUGUCAGGCGUGAAAGCCCCGGGCUUAACCUGGGAACUGCGUUUGAUACGGAUGGGCUAGAGUUCGGGAGAGGAGAGUGGAAUUCCCAGUGUAGAGGUGAAAUUCGUAGAUAUUGGGAAGAACACCGGUGGCGAAGGCGGCUCUCUGGACCGAGACUGACGCUGAGGCGCGAAAGCGUGGGGAGCAAACAGG